UCCAAGGGAUGUUCAAUGAUGGAG
rnacentral:piRNA from 1 species